GUAGGGAAUUUUCCGCAAUGGGCGAAAGCCUGACGGAGCAAUACCGCGUGAGGGAUGACGGCCUAUGGGUUGUAAACCUCUUUUUUCAGGGAGGAAUAAAUGACGUGUACCUGAAGAAUAAGCAUCGGCUAACUCCGUGCCAGCAGCCGCGGUAAGACGGAGGAUGCAAGUGUUAUCCGGAAUCACUGGGCGUAAAGCGUCUGUAGGUGGUCCAAUAAGUCAACUGUUAAAUCUUGAGGCUCAACCUCAAAACCGCAGUCGAAACUAUUAGACUAGAGUAUAGUAGGGGUAAAGGGAAUUUCCAGUGGAGCGGUGAAAUGCGUAGAUAUUGGAAGGAACACCGAUGGCGAAGGCACUUUACUGGGCUAUUACUAACACUCAGAGACGAAAGCUAGGGUAGCAAAUGGGAUUAGAAACCCCAGUAGUCC
rnacentral:rRNA from 1 species